UACAGAGGGUGCAAGCGUUAAUCGGAAUUACUGGGCGUAAAGGGCGUGCAGGCGGUUUGUUAAGUGCAGGGUGAAAGCUCCCGGCUCAACUGGGAGAGGUCCUUGCAUACUGGCGAACUCGAGGGAGGCAGAGGAAAGUGGAAUUCCCGGUGUAGUGGUGAUAUGCGUAGAUAUCGGGAGGAACACCUGUGGCGAAGGCGGCUUUCAGGGCCUUACCUGACGCUGAGACGCGAAAGCGUGGGGAGCGAACCGG
rnacentral:rRNA from 1 species